UAAUGCAGUCGAGCGGACAGAUGGGAGCUUGCUCCCUGAUGUUAGCGGCGGACGGGUGAGUAACACGUGGGUAACCUGCCUGUAAGACUGGGAUAACUCCGGGAAACCGGGGCUAAUACCGGAUGGUUGUUUGAACCGCAUGGUUCAAACAUAAAAGGUGGCUUCGGCUACCACUUACAGAUGGACCCGCGGCGCAUUAGCUAGUUGGUGAGGUAACGGCUCACCAAGGCAACGAUGCGUAGCCGACCUGAGAGGGUGAUCGGCCACACUGGGACUGAGACACGGCCCAGACUCCUACGGGAGGCAGCAGUAGGGAAUCUUCCGCAAUGGACGAAAGUCUGACGGAGCAACGCCGCGUGAGUGAUGAAGGUUUUCGGAUCGUAAAGCUCUGUUGUUAGGGAAGAACAAGUACCGUUCGAAUAGGGCGGUACCUUGACGGUACCUAACCAGAAAGCCACGGCUAACUACGUGCCAGCAGCCGCGGUAAUACGUAGGUGGCAAGCGUUGUCCGGAAUUAUUGGGCGUAAAGGGCUCGCAGGCGGUUUCUUAAGUCUGAUGUGAAAGCCCCCGGCUCAACCGGGGAGGGUCAUUGGAAACUGGGGAACUUGAGUGCAGAAGAGGAGAGUGGAAUUCCACGUGUAGCGGUGAAAUGCGUAGAGAUGUGGAGGAACACCAGUGGCGAAGGCGACUCUCUGGUCUGUAACUGACGCUGAGGAGCGAAAGCGUGGGGAGCGAACAGGAUUAGAUACCCUGGUAGUCCACGCCGUAACGAUGAGUGCUAAGUGUUAGGGGGUUUCCGCCCCUUAGUGCUGCAGCUA
rnacentral:rRNA from 1 species